GACCAGACUCCUACGGGAGGCAGCAGUGGGGAAUAUUGCACAAUGGGGGGAACCCUGAUGCAGCGACGCCGCGUGGGUGAAGGAGCACCUCGGUGCGUAAAGCCCUAUCGGCAGGGAAGAAACAGACGGUACCUGACUAAGAAGCCCCGGCUAACUACGUGCCAGCAGCCGCGGUAAUACGUAGGGGGCAAGCGUUAUCCGGAUUUACUGGGUGUAAAGGGGGCGCAGACGGCGAUGCAAGCCAGGAGUGAAAGGCCGGGGCCCAACCCCGGGACUGCUCUGGGAACUGCGUGGCUGGAGUGCAGGAGGGGCAGGCGGAAUUCCUGGUGUAGCGGUGAAAUGCGUAGAUAUCAGGAGGAACACCGGUGGCGAAGGCGGCCUGCUGGACUGCAACUGACGUUGAGGCCCGAAAGCGUGGGUAUCGAACAGGAUUAGAUACCCUAGUA
rnacentral:rRNA from 1 species